CCUACGGGAGGCAGCAGUGGGGAAUAUUGGACAAUGGGGGGAACCCUGAUCCAGCGACGCCGCGUGAGUGAAGAAGUAUUUCGGUAUGUAUAGCUCUAUCAGCAGGGAAGAAAGAAAUGACGGUACCUGACUAAGAAGCCCCGGCUAACUACGUGCCAGCAGCCGCGGUACUACGUAGGGGGCAAGCGUUAUCCGGAUGUACUGGGUGUAAAGGGAGCGUAGACGGUUACGCAAGUCUGGAGUGAAAGGCGGGGGCCCAACCCCCGGACUGCUUUGGAAACUGUGUAACUGGAGUGCAGGAGGGGUAGGUGGAAUGCCUGGUGUAGCGGUGAAAUGCGUAGAUAUUAGGAGGAACACCGGUGGCGAAGGCGGCUUGCUGGACUGUAACUGACGUUGAGGCUCGAAAGCGUGGGGAGCAAACAGGAUUAGAUACCCUAGUAGUC
rnacentral:rRNA from 1 species